rnacentral:rRNA from 1 species
UACGGAGGGUGCAAGCGUUAUCCGGAUUCACUGGGUUUAAAGGGUGCGUAGGUGGCCCGGUCAGUCAGUGGUGAAAGCGCGGGGCUCAACUCCGCGUCGGCCAUUGAUACUGCGGGGCUGGAGCACUGUAGAGGCAGGCGGAAUUCCGGGUGUAGCGGUGGAAUGCGUAGAGAUCCGGAAGAACACCGGUGGCGAAGGCGGCCUGCUGGGCAGUUGCUGACACUGAGGCGCGACAGCGUGGGGAGCAAACAGGG